ACUUGACCAAUGAGGAGCAGCGCAGCCUACACAUUUCCGGUCUAAACAAGUCAUGUGGCUGAAUCUUAAAGGGCCUCCUAGUGUUGUCAUAAAACCUGCAUCUGAAGGCUGAAAAUUUAAAGAAAGGGAGAGAUACCAGAACCGUGUAAGGAAAUCCUGCCCUGUCUCUCCAUACCUACUGGACAGGGAAGGCAAACUUCAGGAAUGAUAAAUGAGACAGACCAUAUGAUGUACCUGGAAACACCUGGAAACGUUAAAGGAAGUGCAAGCCAAUGGGAGGAGGUGGCGUUCACACAGAUCAGUCUAAAAUCAACUUGCUGUGCACUGCGCCUCUGUGACAAGUCUCCUCCUGCUGGCGUCUCGGUGAGCUCUGACAUGGGAAGGAUCCCUAACCAUCACCAAGUGAAUAAUUUGUCUCUCCAGUAAAUUGCACAUCACGG
rnacentral:lncRNA from 1 species